UUUGGGAAGGGAUGAGUGGGGAGAGGUUUAGUCCUUCUGAAUGUAUUUUAUUUUCCUUUUCCGAAUCUUGAUAUAAUUGGGGGGGAAAAAACACACGUUUAUUCAUCAGGUAAUCUGGGAGGAAAUGAAUGGCAGGAGAAUGAGGAACAGAAAGGAGAGCUUUCCGAGGAGAACAGAAAGUGACUGGAGUUUUAGGAGAUCAAGCAUUCAAGGGAGUCUGUGAAGGAAGUAAGAACCAAUCGUGGAAAAGGAGACGAGAGAGGCUGGAGGCCCGGCAACGUGCCUCCAACGGGCGAAAACACGGCUGCGCAGAACAAAAGCCGCCGGGAGGAGAGGAAAUCCCACUGGAGGAAAUCCCACUGGAGGCGAUCCCCUAGCGCAGCUCAGGCCGACUCCGCAGGAGCCCGACUCCGGCAGGGGCAACGGAGAGCGAGGCAAGGGCAACAAAACAAAAAUGAACAGAUGAGACUACAUCAAACUACAGUGCUUUUGCACAGUGAAACAGAAAGUCAGCCUACGGAAUGGGAGAAGAUAGUUGUAAAUGAUAUGUCUGAUAAGGAGUUAAUAUCAAAAAUAAGAAGAUAUAAAACUCAGUAUCAAAAAAUCUGAUUUUAAAAUGGCCAGAGGAAGUCAAUAGACAUUUUUCAAAGAAGAUGUGCAAAUGGCCAGCUGAUGUGUGAAAAGGUGCUCGACAUCAGUAAUCAUCAUGAAAGUGUAAAUCAAAACAAGGUACCACCUCACACCUAACAGAAGGGCUGCUAUUAAAGCAACAACUCACAAAGGUUGUCAAGGAUGUGGAUAAAAUGUUUAUGGACAUUUUUUAUAUUUAUAUUUGUUUAUGCACUGUUUAUGGAAAUAUAAAUUUGUGCAGCCACUAUGGGAAAAAGUAUGGAUGUUCCUCAAAAAAAAUAAAAAUGGAACUAAUAUAUGA